UACGUAGGUGGCAAGCGUUGUCCGGAAUUAUUGGGCGUAAAGCGCGCGCAGGCGGUCCUUUAAGUCUGAUGUGAAAGCCCACGGCUCAACCGUGGAGGGUCAUUGGAAACUGGGGGACUUGAGUACAGGAGAGGAGAGUGGAAUUCCACGUGUAGCGGUGAAAUGCGUAGAGAUGUGGAGGAACACCAGUGGCGAAGGCGACUCUUUGGCCUGUAACUGACGCUGAGGCGCGAAAGCGUGGGGAGCAAACAGG
rnacentral:rRNA from 1 species